UACGUAGGGUGCGAGCGUUGUCCGGAAUUAUUGGGCGUAAAGAGCUUGUAGGCGGUUUGUCGCGUCUGCUGUGAAAUUUCGGGGGCUCAACCCCGAACUUGCAGUGGGUACGGGGCAGACUAGAGUGUGGUAGGGGGAGACUGGAAUUCCUGGUGUAGCGGUGAAAUGCGCAGAUAUCAGGAGGAACACCGGUGGCGAAGGCGGGUCUCUGGGCCGUAACUGGACGCUGGAGGAGCGAAAAGCUGGGGGAG
rnacentral:rRNA from 1 species